GACGAACGCUGGCGGCGUGCUUAACACACGCAAGUCGAACGGAAAGGCCCUGCUUUUGUGGGGUGCUCGAGUGGCGAACGGGUGAGUAACACGUGAGUAACCUGCCCUUGACUUUGGGAUAACUUCAGGAAACUGGGGCUAAUACCGGAGAGGAGCUCCUGCUGCAUGGUGGGGGUUGGAAAGUUUCGGCGGUUGGGGAUGGACUCGCGGCUUAUCAGCUGGUUGGUGGGGUAGUGGCUUACCAAGGCUUUGACGGGUAGCCGGCCUGAGAGGGUGACCGGCCACAUUGGGACUGAGAUACGGCCCAGACUCCUACGGGAGGCAGCAGUGGGGAAUAUUGCACAAUGGGCGGAAGCCUGAUGCAGCAACGCCGCGUGCGGGAUGACGGCCUUCGGGUUGUAAACCGCUUUCGCCUGUGACGAAGCGUGAGUGACGGUAAUGGGUAAAGAAGCACCGGCUAACUACGUG
rnacentral:rRNA from 1 species